UACGGAGGGUGCGAGCGUUGUCCGGAAUCAUUGGGCGUAAAGGGCGCGUAGGUGGCCCGGUCAGUCUUUGGUGAAAGCGCGGGGCUCAACCCUGCGUCGGCCAGGGAUACUGCCGCGGCUCGAGCACUGUAGAGGCAGGCGGAAUUCCGGGUGGAGUGGUGAAAUGCGUAGAGAUCCGGAGGAACACCAGAGGCGAAGGCGGCCGACUGGGCCAGUACUGACGCUGAGGCGCGAAAGCCAGGGGAGCGAACGGG
rnacentral:rRNA from 1 species